AUAUACUCCUUAUUUUCUCUUUUUGAGAAAAUAUUCUUUACGUACCUUCAUAGCCCAAUCCACUCCUCUCCUUCAACUUUAAUGUAACUAAAAUUUUCUCCUUUAUUUCCAUGAUCUACACAACCCAGUAUUUUAACCCAUGUUGGAUCUCUUUCUGAUCCAUAUGCUUAAUUCGUUGAGCAAAUCAACAACAAGAUGCAACAUCUUUGCAUCAUAUGUUGGACAUCUAAUGUUACAAAGAUCGUUGAAGGAUCUCCAAAUUUGUUUGCUCGAUACAACACAAAUCUGCAGAGCAUUUUGAGAUGUUUUCAAAGUACUUUGAGAUGUUUUCAAAGCAUGUUGAGAUGUAUUAGAUUAUUUUAUGAUUUAAUAGUUGUGAAUUGACGGGUCUCCUAGCAUGUAGAGGUGUUUUCAAAGCAUGUUGAGAUGUAUUAGAUUAUUUUGUGAUUUAAUAGUCUUGAUUUGAUAGAUCAAGAUAAAUUAACAAUUGUGAUUUCUUUGACUAAUUAUGAUGUACUUUUUUACAUCCAUUUUUUGUAUUUAUUUAAUGACCACAUAUAAUAUGGGUUUAUUUUA